rnacentral:rRNA from 1 species
AAUCUGCCCUAUCGUGGGGGAUAACGUAGGGAAACUUACGCUAAUACCGCAUACGACCGAGAGGUGAAAGCGGGGGACCGCGAGGCCUCGCGCGAUGGGAUGAGCCUAUGUCGGAUUAGCUAGUUGGCGGGGUAAAAGCCCACCAAGGCGACGAUCCGUAGCUGGUCUGAGAGGAUGACCAGCCACACUGGGACUGAGACACGGCCCAGACUCCUACGGGAGGCAGCAGUGGGGAAUAUUGGACAAUGGGGGCAACCCUGAUCCAGCAAUGCCGCGUGUGU